GGUAGCAUAAUCAUUAGUUUUUUAAUUAAAAGCUGGAAUGAAGGGUUGGAGGAAAAAAUAACUUUCUUAAAUUAAAUUUUUUAAAACUUUAUUUUUAAGUUAAAAAGCUUAAAUAUUUUUAAAAGACGAGAAGACCCUAUAGAGUUUUAUAAAAAUAUUUAUUUGAAAAUUAAGAAUUAAAUUUUUUAAAUAAUUUUUUUUAUUUAAUUGGGGUGAUUGAAAAAUUAAAUUAACUUUUUUUAUAAAUUUAUAUUAAUUAAUAAUUUUAUGAUCCUAUUUUUUAGAUUAAUAGAAAAAAUUACCUUAGGGAUAACAGCGUAAUUUUAUUAGAGAGUUCAAAUCGAAAAUAAAGAUUGCGACCUCGAUGUUGGAUUAAAAUUUGUAUUUGGUGAAAAAGUUAAAAUACUAAGUCUGUUCGACUUUUA
rnacentral:rRNA from 1 species